rnacentral:rRNA from 4 species
UUGAUUGAUGGUGCUUGCACCUGAUUGAUUUUGGUCGCCAACGAGUGGCGGACGGGUGAGUAACACGUAGGUAACCUGCCCAGAAGCGGGGGACAACAUUUGGAAACAGAUGCUAAUACCGCAUAACAGCGUUGUUCGCAUGAACAACGCUUAAAAGAUGGCUUCUCGCUAUCACUUCUGGAUGGACCUGCGGUGCAUUAGCUUGUUGGUGGGGUAACGGCCUACCAAGGCGAUGAUGCAUAGCCGAGUUGAGAGACUGAUCGGCCACAAUGGGACUGAGACACGGCCCAUACUCCUACGGGAGGCAGCAGUAGGGAAUCUUCCACAAUGGGCGCAAGCCUGAUGGAGCAACACCGCGUGAGUGAAGAAGGGUUUCGGCUCGUAAAGCUCUGUUGUUAAAGAAGAACACGUAUGAGAGUAACUGUUCAUACGUUGACGGUAUUUAACCAGAAAGUCACGGCUAACUACGUGCCAGCAGCCGCGGUAAUACGUAGGUGGCAAGCGUUAUCCGGAUUUAUUGGGCGUAAAGAGAGUGCAGGCGGUUUUCUAAGUCUGAUGUGAAAGCCUUCGGCUUAACCGGAGAAGUGCAUCGGAAACUGGAUAACUUGAGUGCAGAAGAGGGUAGUGGAACUCCAUGUGUAGCGGUGGAAUGCGUAGAUAUAUGGAAGAACACCAGUGGCGAAGGCGGCUACCUGGUCUGCAACUGACGCUGAGACUCGAAAGCAUGGGUAGCGAACAGGAUUAGAUACCCUGGUAGUCCAUGCCGUAAACGAUGAGUGCUAGGUGUUGGAGGGUUUCCGCCCUUCAGUGCCGGAGCUAACGCAUUAAGCACUCCGCCUGGGGAGUACGACCGCAAGGUUGAAACUCAAAGGAAUUGACGGGGGCCCGCACAAGCGGUGGAGCAUGUGGUUUAAUUCGAAGCUACGCGAAGAACCUUACCAGGUCUUGACAUCUUGCGCCAACCCUAGAGAUAGGGCGUUUCCUUCGGGAACGCAAUGACAGGUGGUGCAUGGUCGUCGUCAGCUCGUGUCGUGAGAUGUUGGGUUAAGUCCCGCAACGAGCGCAACCCUUGUUACUAGUUGCCAGCAUUAAGUUGGGCACUCUAGUGAGACUGCCGGUGACAAACCGGAGGAAGGUGGGGACGACGUCAGAUCAUCAUGCCCCUUAUGACCUGGGCUACACACGUGCUACAAUGGACGGUACAACGAGUCGCGAACUCGCGAGGGCAAGCAAAUCUCUUAAAACCGUUCUCAGUUCGGACUGCAGGCUGCAACUCGCCUGCACGAAGUCGGAAUCGCUAGUAAUCGCGGAUCAGCAUGCCGCGGUGAAUACGUUCCCGGGCCUUGUACACACCGCCCGUCACACCAUGAGAGUUUGUAACACCCAAAGUCGGUGGG